rnacentral:lncRNA from 1 species
CUUCUUUGGGUUGGCAUCAGACAUCUCCAGGUCAUUGUCCUGUGCACCCCCCCCCCUUGUCUGCAAGGAAGUAUGCUCUGACUGAGUUCUUCAGUCUCCGUGGGAACCUGGCAGGAGAGGUUUUAAAGCAAGGAGAGGGAGAUCAAGGGGAGGCCAAGAGGCCAAGAGCCAAAAAGGAAGGGAGAGCCUGGUGGAGUUGAGCUGGAAUGCAGAAAGCUCAGAGAAGAAAGGCCCAAACAGGCUGGAGAAAGCUGAAGCCACAUCUGCCUGGGACUUGCUGGCUGAUUUAGAAUUCAGCCUAAAAAGCAACACGAAUGGUCUUGGAGCAGGGGACCAACUGCGUCCUUUUCAAAGGCAAGCCUGAGGGCUGCCUCCUUUCUGUGACACUUGGCUUCUGCAAUGUCACUCUGCUCCACAACCCCCUAAUCUGGGGGAAAGCCAGCCACACAGGCAGAUUCAGCAGGGCCUCUGUGAAGGGUGCCUUCUCCUUUAUUUGCUGUGACGAAGCCAGUUGCUGCAUGAGGGCCAUCCCACGGAGAGGCCAUUGUGCCAAAGACCCGAGAUGGUGAGAAGAUGGAGGCCUUCAAUCCAACAUCCCACGAGGAUCUGGGUCUUGCCAACAACCAUGUGUGAGAUCUUGGAGGUAGAUCCUUCCGGGGAGGACCUAAGGGACUGCAGCUUGCAGACAUCACACCUGCCUCUGUCACCUACAGGAACUGAGUUACCUGAAGUACUUGUAACUAAGUACUAGUUACAUAGUAACAGGUGUCCUCAGACUGCCAUCAGUAAGUAGAAACUGCCCUAUUCAGCUGGCAAGAUGGGUCAGCAGGCAAAAGUGCGGGCUGGAACCUGAAUUUGCUCCCUGGCGCCCACAGUGGGGAGGGAGUACUGGCUCCCAAAAGUUGUCCUCUGUAUUAGUACGGUGGCACACAUGCGUCUGCAAUCAAACGCACAUAGCACACA